ensembl:lncRNA
AUCCCGAGGGAAAGUUCUCCCUGAGAGCUUUUCAUUUGGUGCAUUGGCCGGGAAAGGAGAUCCUCCACCCAGGGACCACCGACCACCCACUGGGAGGUAAGCCGGCCGGCGUCUGUCUGUCUGUCUGAUUUUGUCUCGUUCUGCCUUAUUCUGUCUGUUCUGUGAGCGCUCAGCCAGGUCUGUUCUGUGAGCGCUCAGCCAGGUUGUUUGGAAUUUGGGCGGGACGAAGAAGGAGCUGACGAGCUCGGACUUCUCGCCCCGCAGCCCUGGAAGACGUUCCAAGGGUGUUGGGGCCCGACUUUUCGGGGCCCAAUCUGGGAGAGGAGAAAGAUCCGGACUAACGGCACCUCUGUCUGUAUUUUUGGCUUUCAGAGGGCCCCGGACCUUUGCCACCUCCAUCUGACUUUUUGCUUUCAGUUUGGUACCAAAGCCGUGCAGCACGCCUGUCUGUUGUUUGUUUGACUGUUGGUGUUGUUUGUUUUCUCUGUGUUCUAAUCUUCCUUAGAACUAACAUGGGACAGUCCCUAACAACGCCCCUAAGUCUCACUCUUGAUCAUUAGAAAGACGUCCACGACCGGGCACACAACCAGUCCGUCGAGGUUAAAAAAAAAAAAAAAAAAAAAGGAAAAUGACAGACUCUCUGCACAUCCGAGUGGCCCACUUUCGGAGCGGGAUGGCCAGUAAAUGGCACAUUUAAUAAGAUCAUUAUUUUACAGGUUAAAGAUCGGGUCGUCCACGGACAUCCUGACCAGGUUUCUUAUAUUAUCACUUGAGAGAGUCUCGCCUUAAUCCCCCCCCCGGGCGGAACCCUUCGUGGACCCGAAUUGGCCUCCCCUCAACCCCCAGCCUGUCCCCUCGGCCCCGCCCGGUCCGCCGGCCACGUCUUCCUCUCUCUACCUUUGUGAAAUCAGAGCCUUCUAAGAAACCUGUCCUCCCGGCAGACCCAAACUCCCCUCUCAUAGAUCUUCUCUCUGACAGGCCCGGCUAAAAC